CGGCUUCCGGCUGCUCGCUGUGUGGGGUUUGGAGGUCGUGCCCGGGCGCUUCCGGGUGGGUGAGGCCUUAAAGGCCGUGCGGGGCCAACGCGGGCACCGCACCGUGAGCUGGAGGACCGCGGUGUGCUCCGGGGAGCCCUGAGGUACGCCCGUAGAUCCUAAUUCUGCUCUGGCGUGCCCUGAAGUCCUUCUGCUCUGCUAUGGAGGCCUUCGAGGCCUAUCCCAGCACGUUGGCACAGCACACAGUGCCCUCAGGAGCCCUCCGUGCGCUCCAGGCCGUCUUAGUGCAGGUCAGCUGAACGCGGUAACCACCCAGCAUGCCCUGUGGGGUACCAGAGCCCGCACAGAGGUGCCUGAUGCGCUCUUGAGGGCUCCUGAGGCCUCACUGUGUGCCCCAGAGGCAGCCCAGGGCACCCUGUUUGAACCUGAAGUCCUCCUGGAGCUCCUCGCUGUGCCCCAUAGGCCUCCAGGAGCCCCCCCCGUGCACUGUGGGGGCCCAUGAGCACUCUGCAGGUGUCCAUUUGCUUCCUGCAAUCGAUCCAGGGCGACAGAGCGGCCUCGCAGUGGUGUCUUCUAGUUCCUAUGGGCUGCAUCCUAUGAUCCCGCAGACUCCGCCACUCUGGAUUUGAUCCAAUAUUCCCCGACCUACUUUGUUUUCCCAAACGCGCUCCCAGAGGAGCUUCUUGUUGGCUUUGCUGUAUCUGCUGACCGACGCAGUUCUGUUGGAGUUUUGCUUUCUCAGCUCCGUCCCUGGGGGCUUGGAUGAUGUCUGUGUAUUCCCAGUGUUGUCCCAGCGUAAUUUGUGCCCGUCUGGGUGAAAAGUGGGGUGAAGUGCUCCGAGGAGGGGCAAAGCGGGGGGGAGGUGAUGGAGGACUUUGCAGAGAGGGGACGCUGACCCCAAGGAACAGGAAAACACGACCUCUGCUGCAGUUCUGAGUAUCCAGAAAUGAAAGCGACGGCUCUGCAGGCACAGCCUCUCCCCACUGCCCACAUUCAAUGGGGCUGGUUCGUACUGGGGAGUCCCAUAAAACACCCUGGGGGAAGGGGGACACCCCCAUAAACUACGCUAUAGGUUGUUCCAUAGCAAAAAAAAAAACAACACACCCUUCAACCACCCCCCAAAAUCGCACGCAUCGAGGCAGGUUGAUCGCUUUAUUCUGCUCAUGUUUUGCAGGGGGUGGGGGAGUGGAAAUGGUCUGUUAUGCGACAGUGCCCCCCGGCCCUACAGCCCCCACCUGGCGCCGUGCCUCAUCCAUCAUCUCGGCGAUCAGCUCACUCUCAGCCAACGUCAUCACGGGGCUCUCAGUCAGCCCUGAGGGGACAAGGGGUCAGCAGGACACCCCCCAUCAUUGUGAACCUCCCCCCCCCCCCACCCCCACUCUCCCCCUUGUUGUUUUGGGACUUUCCUACUAUUUGGGACCCCUUCAUCGUUUAGAGACCCCUCCAUCAUUUAGCGAUACCCCCCAGUACUUUGGACCUCCUGUGUUAUUUGUAGGGAACCCACAUUUUAUUUUGGGACCCCUGCCAUUAUUUUAGGGACCACCCAUCAUUUAGGACCCCACCACUCACACCCCCCUAUGCCCCCUCACCCUUCAGCAAGCACUCCCGCACGUGCUGGGCCUCGUAGCGCAGCCCUGUGCUGUUGGGGUAGUUCAGGGGUUCCACGGGGGGGGGCAAGGGGAAAACCUCUCUCUUGCCCUCCCAGAUCAGCUCAGUGGGGCAGUUCAGGUGGCUGGGGAUCUCCACCCAGCCGCGGGUUCCCCCCAGCGCGGCGCCCCCUGGCAGCUUUGCAUCCAUGGACACGGUCAGUGCUGCCUGCUUCCCCCCCUCAUACUGCAGCGUCAGCGUCACCGUCUC
rnacentral:lncRNA from 1 species